GACGAACGCUGGCGGCGUGCCUAAUACAUGCAAGUAGAACGCAGUUGCGAACGGGUGAGUAACGCGUAGGUAACUGCCUCAUAGCGGGGGAUAACUAUUGGAAACGAUAGCUAAUACCGAAUCCUGUGAGAUGGACCUGCGUUGUAUUAGCUAGUUGGUUAGGUAAAGGCUCACCAAGGCGACGAUACAUAGCCGACCUGAGAGGGUGAUCGGCCACACUGGGACUGAGAAACGGCCCAGACUCCUCCGGGAGGCAGCAGGGGGGAAUAUUGCACAAUGGGCGCAAGCCUGAUGCAGCCAUGCCGCGUGUACGAAGAAGGCCUUCGGGUUGUAAAGUACUUUCAGCGGGGAGGCGUUACCCGCAGAAGAAGCACCGGCUAACUCCGUGCCAGCAGCCGCGGUAAUAC
rnacentral:rRNA from 1 species